rnacentral:rRNA from 1 species
AGUGAACGCUGGCGGUAGGCCUCAUGCAAGUCGAACGGCAGCACAGUAAGAGCUUGCUCUUACGGGUGGCGAGUGGCGGACGGGUGAGGAAUACAUCGGAAUCUACUUUUUCGUGGGGGAUAACGUAGGGAAACUUACGCUAAUACCGCAUACGACCUACGGGUGAAAGCAGGGGAUCUUCGGACCUUGCGCGAUUGAAUGAGCCGAUGUCGGAUUAGCUAGUUGGCGGGGUAAAGGCCCACCAAGGCGACGAUCCGUAGCUGGUCUGAGAGGAUGAUCAGCCACACUGGAACUGAGACACGGUCCAGACUCCUACGGGAGGCAGCAGUGGGGAAUAUUGGACAAAGGGCGCAAGCCUGAUCCAGCCAUACCGCGUGGGUGAAGAAGGCCUUCGGGUUGUAAAGCCCUUUUGUUGGGAAAGAAAAGCAGCAGGUUAAUACCCCGCUGUUCUGACGGUACCCAAAGAAUAAGCACCGGCUAACUUCGUG